rnacentral:rRNA from 1 species
UACAGAGGGUGCGAACGUUGCUCGGAAUUACUGGGCGUAAAGCGCAUGUAGGCGGAUCCAUAAGUCGGGCGUGAAAUCCCCAGGCUCAACCUGGGAACUGCGCUCGAAACUGUGGGUCUUGAGUGUCGGAGAGGAUGGCGGAAUUCCUGGUGUAGAGGUGAAAUUCGUAGAUAUCAGGAGGAACACCGGUGGCGAAGGCGGCCAUCUGGACGACAACUGACGCUGAGAUGCGAAAGCGUGGGGAGCAAACAGG